GGCUUCGUGGCGUAAUGGUGGCGCGUCGGAUUCCAAUAUCCGCUGGGUCUCCCAGCUGGACACCAUCCGAAGGUUGGGGGUUCGAUCCCCUCCGAGGUCA
rnacentral:tRNA from 1 species